rnacentral:rRNA from 1 species
UACGGAAGGGGCAAGCGUUGUUCGGAAUCAUUGGGCGUAAAGGGCGCGUAGGCGGCUUGUCGCGUCGAAUGUGAAAUCUCAGGGCUCAACCCUGACAUUGCAUUCGAUACGGGCAGGCUAGAGUUCGGUAGGGGAGACUGGAAUUCCUGGUGUAGCGGUGAAAUGCGCAGAUAUCAGGAGGAACACCGGUGGCGAAGGCGGCGACCUGGUCCGUGACUGACGCUGAGGCGCGAAAGCGUGGGGAGCAAACAGG